GAAACCCAGCAUGAGUUAUGUCAUGUUAUCGAUAUGUGAAUACAUAGCAUAUCAGAAGGCACACCCGGAGAACUGAAACAUCUUAGUACCCGGAGGAAGAGAAAGAAAAUUCGAUUCCCUUAGUAGCGGCGAGCGAAACGGGAAGAGCCCAAACCAACAAGCUUGCUUGUUGGGGUUGUAGGACACUCUAUACGGAGUUACAAAGGACGACAUUAGACGAAUCAUCUGGAAAGAUGAAUCAAAGAAGGUAAUAAUCCUGUAGUCGAAAAUGUUGUCUCUCUUGAGUGGAUCCUGAGUACGACGGAGCACGUGAAAUUCCGUCGGAAUCUGGGAGGACCAUCUCCUAAGGCUAAAUACUCUCUAGUGACCGAUAGUGAACCAGUACCGUGAGGGAAAGGUGAAAAGCACCCCGGAAGGGGAGUGAAAUAGAACCUGAAACCGUGUGCUUACAAGUAGUCAGAGCCCGUUAAUGGGUGAUGGCGUGCCUUUUGUAGAAUGAACCGGCGAGUUACGAUUUGAUGCAAGGUUAAGCAGUAAAUGUGGAGCCGUAGCGAAAGCGAGUCUGAAUAGGGCGUUUAGUAUUUGGUCGUAGACCCGAAACCAGGUGAUCUACCCUUGGUCAGGUUGAAGUUCAGGUAACACUGAAUGGAGGACCGAACCGACUUACGUUGAAAAGUGAGCGGAUGAACUGAGGGUAGCGGAGAAAUUCCAAUCGAACCUGGAGAUAGCUGGUUCUCUCCGAAAUAGCUUUAGGGCUAGCCUCAAGUGAUGAUUAUUGGAGGUAGAGCACUGUUUGGACGAGGGGCCCCUCUCGGGUUACCGAAUUCAGACAAACUCCGAAUGCCAAUUAAUUUAACUUGGGAGUCAGAACAUGGGUGAUAAGGUCCGUGUUCGAAAGGGAAACAGCCCAGACCACCAGCUAAGGUCCCAAAAUAUAUGUUAAGUGGAAAAGGAUGUGGCGUUGCCCAGACAACUAGGAUGUUGGCUUAGAAGCAGCCAUCAUUUAAAGAGUGCGUAAUAGCUCACUAGUCGAGUGACACUGCGCCGAAAAUGUACCGGGGCUAAACAUAUUACCGAAGCUGUGGAUUGUCCUUUGGACAAUGGUAGGAGAGCGUUCUAAGGGCGUUGAAGCAUGAUCGUAAGGACAUGUGGAGCGCUUAGAAGUGAGAAUGCCGGUGUGAGUAGCGAAAGACGGGUGAGAAUCCCGUCCACCGAUUGACUAAGGUUUCCAGAGGAAGGCUCGUCCGCUCUGGGUUAGUCGGGUCCUAAGCUGAGGCCGACAGGCGUAGGCGAUGGAUAACAGGUUGAUAUUCCUGUACCACCUAUAAUCGUUUUAAUCGAUGGGGGGACGCAGUAGGAUAGGCGAAGCGUGCGAUUGGAUUGCACGUCUAAGCAGUAAGGCUGAGUAUUAGGCAAAUCCGGUACUCGUUAAGGCUGAGCUGUGAUGGGGAGAAGACAUUGUGUCUUCGAGUCGUUGAUUUCACACUGCCGAGAAAAGCCUCUAGAUAGAAAAUAGGUGCCCGUACCGCAAACCGACACAGGUAGUCAAGAUGAGAAUUCUAAGGUGAGCGAGCGAACUCUCGUUAAGGAACUCGGCAAAAUGACCCCGUAACUUCGGGAGAAGGGGUGCUCUUUAGGGUUAACGCCCAGAAGAGCCGCAGUGAAUAGGCCCAAGCGACUGUUUAUCAAAAACACAGGUCUCUGCUAAACCGUAAGGUGAUGUAUAGGGGCUGACGCCUGCCCGGUGCUGGAAGGUUAAGAGGAGUGGUUAGCUUCUGCGAAGCUACGAAUCGAAGCCCCAGUAAACGGCGGCCGUAACUAUAACGGUCCUAAGGUAGCGAAAUUCCUUGUCGGGUAAGUUCCGACCCGCACGAAAGGCGUAACGAUUUGGGCACUGUCUCAACGAGAGACUCGGUGAAAUCAUAGUACCUGUGAAGAUGCAGGUUACCCGCGACAGGACGGAAAGACCCCGUGGAGCUUUACUGUAGCCUGAUAUUGAAAUUCGGCACAGCUUGUACAGGAUAGGUAGGAGCCUUUGAAACGUGAGCGCUAGCUUACGUGGAGGCGCUGGUGGGAUACUACCCUAGCUGUGUUGGCUUUCUAACCCGCACCACUUAUCGUGGUGGGAGACAGUGUCAGGCGGGCAGUUUGACUGGGGCGGUCGCCUCCUAAAAGGUAACGGAGGCGCUCAAAGGUUCCCUCAGAAUGGUUGGAAAUCAUUCAUAGAGUGUAAAGGCAUAAGGGAGCUUGACUGCGAGACCUACAAGUCGAGCAGGGUCGAAAGACGGACUUAGUGAUCCGGUGGUUCCGCAUGGAAGGGCCAUCGCUCAACGGAUAAAAGCUACCCCGGGGAUAACAGGCUUAUCUCCCCCAAGAGUUCACAUCGACGGGGAGGUUUGGCACCUCGAUGUCGGCUCAUCGCAUCCUGGGGCUGUAGUCGGUCCCAAGGGUUGGGCUGUUCGCCCAUUAAAGCGGUACGCGAGCUGGGUUCAGAACGUCGUGAGACAGUUCGGUCCCUAUCCGUCGUGGGCGUAGGAAAUUUGAGAGGAGCUGUCCUUAGUACGAGAGGACCGGGAUGGACAUACCUCUGGUGUACCAGUUGUCGUGCCAACGGCAUAGCUGGGUAGCUAUGUGUGGACGGGAUAAGUGCUGAAAGCAUCUAAGCAUGAAGCCCCCCUCAAGAUGAGAU
rnacentral:rRNA from 1 species